GACGAACCGAGCGAACGUUGUUCGGAAUCACUGGGCUUAAAGGGUGCGUAGGCUGUGCAGUAAGUUGGGUGUGAAAUCCCUCGGCUCAACCGAGGAACUGCGCCGAAUACUGCUGUGCUAGAGGAAGAUAGGGGUAAGCGGAACUGAUGGUGGAGCGGUGAAAUGCGUUGAUAUCAUCAGGAACACCGGUGGCGAAGGCGGCUUACUGGAUCUUUUCUGACGCUGAUGCACGAAAGCUAGGGGAGCGAACGGG
rnacentral:rRNA from 1 species